rnacentral:rRNA from 2 species
GUCGUUGAUUUCACACUGCCGAGAAAAGCCUCUAGAUAGAAAAUAGGUGCCCGUACCGCAAACCGACACAGGUAGUCAAGAUGAGAAUUCUAAGGUGAGCGAGCGAACUCUCGUUAAGGAACUCGGCAAAAUGACCCCGUAACUUCGGGAGAAGGGGUGCUCUUUAGGGUUAACGCCCAGAAGAGCCGCAGUGAAUAGGCCCAAGCGACUGUUUAUCAAAAACACAGGUCUCUGCUAAACCGUAAGGUGAUGUAUAGGGGCUGACGCCUGCCCGGUGCUGGAAGGUUAAGAGGAGUGGUUAGCUUCUGCGAAGCUACGAAUCGAAGCCCCAGUAAACGGCGGCCGUAACUAUAACGGUCCUAAGGUAGCGAAAUUCCUUGUCGGGUAAGUUCCGACCCGCACGAAAGGCGUAACGAUUUGGGCACUGUCUCAACGAGAGACUCGGUGAAAUCAUAGUACCUGUGAAGAUGCAGGUUACCCGCGACAGGACGGAAAGACCCCGUGGAGCUUUACUGUAGCCUGAUAUUGAAAUUCGGCACAGCUUGUACAGGAUAGGUAGGAGCCUUUGAAACGUGAGCGCUAGCUUACGUGGAGGCGCUGGUGGGAUACUACCCUAGCUGUGUUGGCUUUCUAACCCGCACCACUUAUCGUGGUGGGAGACAGUGUCAGGCGGGCAGUUUGACUGGGGCGGUCGCCUCCUAAAAGGUAACGGAGGCGCUCAAAGGUUCCCUCAGAAUGGUUGGAAAUCAUUCAUAGAGUGUAAAGGCAUAAGGGAGCUUGACUGCGAGACCUACAAGUCGAGCAGGGUCGAAAGACGGACUUAGUGAUCCGGUGGUUCCGCAUGGAAGGGCCAUCGCUCAACGGAUAAAAGCUACCCCGGGGAUAACAGGCUUAUCUCCCCCAAGAGUUCACAUCGACGGGGAGGUUUGGCACCUCGAUGUCGGCUCAUCGCAUCCUGGGGCUGUAGUCGGUCCCAAGGGUUGGGCUGUUCGCCCAUUAAAGCGGUACGCGAGCUGGGUUCAGAACGUCGUGAGACAGUUCGGUCCCUAUCCGUCGUGGGCGUAGGAAAUUUGAGAGGAGCUGUCCUUAGUACGAGAGGACCGGGAUGGACAUACCUCUGGUGUACCAGUUGUCGUGCCAACGGCAUAGCUGGGUAGCUAUGUGUGGACGGGAUAAGUGCUGAAAGCAUCUAAGCAUGAAGCCCCCCUCAAGAUGAGAUUUCCCAACUUCGGUUAUAAGAUCCCUCAAAGAUGAUGAGGUUAAUAGGUUCGAGGUGGAAGCAUGGUGACAUGUGGAGCUGACGAAUACUAAUCGAUCGAAGACUUAAUC